UACGGGGGGAGCAAGCGCUGUUCGGAUUUACUGGGCGUAAAGGGCGCGUAGGCGGCGCAACAAGUCACUUGUGAAAUCUCCGGGCUUAACCCGGAGCGGCCAAGUGAUACUGUCGUGCUAGAGUGCGGAAGGGGCUACUGGAAUUCUCGGUGUAGCGGUGAAAUGCGUAGAUAUCGAGAGGAACACCUGCGGCGAAGGCGGGUAGCUGGGCCGACACUGACGCUGAGGCGCGAAAGCCAGGGGAGCGAACGGG
rnacentral:rRNA from 1 species